AUACGGAGGGUGCAAGCGUUAAUCGGAAUUACUGGGCGUAAAGCGCGCGUAGGCGGUCUGAUCAGUUGGAUGUGAAAGCCCAGGGCUCAACCUUGGAACUGCAUUCAAUACUGUCAGGCUAGAGUACGGUAGAGGGAGGUAGAAUUCCACGUGUAGCGGUGAAAUGCGUAGAGAUGUGGAGGAAUACCAGUGGCGAAGGCGGCCUCCUGGAUCGAUACUGACGCUGAGGUGCGAAAGCGUGGGGAGCAAACAGGAUUAGAUACCCCGGUAGUCC
rnacentral:rRNA from 1 species